rnacentral:rRNA from 1 species
GGGUGAGUAAUGCCUASGAAUCUGCCUGGYAGUGGGGGACRACGUUUCGAAAGGAACGCUAAUACCGCAUACGUCCUACRGGAGAAAGCAGGGGACCUUCRGGCCUUGCGCUAUCAGAUGAGCCUARGUCGGAUUAGCUAGUUGGWGGGGUAAUGGCUCACCAAGGCGACGAUCCSUAACUGGUCUGAGAGGAUGAUCAGUMACMCUGGAACUGARACACGGKCCARACUCCUACGGGAGGSAGCAGUGGGGAAUAUUGRACAAUGGGCGARAGCCUGAUCCAGCCAUGCCGCGUGUGUGAAGAAGGUCUUCGGAUUGUAAAGCACUUUAAGUUGGGAGGAAGGGCARWAASUUAAUACCUUGCUGUUUUGACGUUACCGACAGAAUAAGCACCGGCUAACUCUGUGCCAGCAGCCGCGG